GAUCAUGAAGACACAGAUGACAGUGACAACACCGUUGCAGGAGAUGACCUGAGCAAGGCUGCCUCAGAGGUCCAGGAUGACUCUACUCUAGCUGAUGUGUGUGCACCAUUAGAUGAAUCUAGUGACGUGCUUUCAGAACAGCUAGUUGAUAUUGAACCAGCAACUGAUGUAGACGUUGUAUCCAGUGUUCCCACACAGGAUAAUAAGGAUGAUGACGUGCUUGAGGAAGACUCAUGUCUUGGAGAAGUGACUUCAUGUCUCAUUGGAGACUGUUUAG